GGCGCAGCUACCAUGCAGUCGGACGGUAGCACAGAGAGCUUGCUCUCGGGUGACGAGUGGCGGACGGGUGAGUAAUGUCUGGGGAUCUGCCCGAUAGAGGGGGAUAACCACUGGAAACGGUGGCUAAUACCGCAUAACGUCGCAAGACCAAAGAGGGGGACCUUCGGGCCUCUCACUAUCGGAUGAACCCAGAUGGGAUUAGCUAGUAGGCGGGGUAAUGGCCCACCUAGGCGACGAUCCCUAGCUGGUCUGAGAGGAUGACCAGCCACACUGGAACUGAGACACGGUCCAGACUCCUACGGGAGGCAGCAGUGGGGAAUAUUGCACAAUGGGCGCAAGCCUGAUGCAGCCAUGCCGCGUGUAUGAAGAAGGCCUUCGGGUUGUAAAGUACUUUCAGCGGGGAGGAAGGCGAUGUGGUUAAUAACCGCGUCGAUUGACGUUACCCGCAGAAGAAGCACCGGCUAACUCCGUGCCAGCAGCCGCGGUAAUACGGAGGGUGCAAGCGUUAAUCGGAAUUACUGGGCGUAAAGCGCACGCAGGCGGUCUGUUAAGUCAGAUGUGAAAUCCCCGGGCUUAACCUGGGAACUGCAUUUGAAACUGGCAGGCUUGAGUCUUGUAGAGGGGGGUAGAAUUCCAGGUGUAGCGGUGAAAUGCGU
rnacentral:rRNA from 1 species